rnacentral:rRNA from 1 species
UACGGAGGGUGCAACCGUUGCUCGGAAUUAUUGGGCGUAAAGCGCACGUAGGCGGUUCGUUAUGUCGGAUGUGAAAGCCCUCGGCUUAACCGAGGAAGUGCAUCCGAAACUGGCGAGCUUGAGUACGGAAGAGGGUCUCGGAAUUCCCGGUGUAGAGGUGAAAUUCGUAGAUAUCGGGAGGAACACCAGUGGCGAAGGCGGAGACCUGGGCCGAUACUGACGCUGAGGUGCGAAAGCGUGGGGAGCAAACAGG